rnacentral:snoRNA from 1 species
AAGUAUAUGAUGAAAACCUAACUCAGCUCACUCUGAGUGAAAACGAUGCUGAUAACAAUCCUAUCCAACAUUCAUCAAAAUUCUGAUUUACUU